GACGAACGCUGGCGGCGUGCUUAACACAUGCAAGUCGAACGAUGAACUGAGAGCUUGCUCUUGGGGAUUAGUGGCGAACGGGUGAGUAACACGUGAGCAACCUGCCCUUGACUCUGGGAUAAGCGCUGGAAACGGCGUCUAAUACUGGAUAUGACCAAAGUAGGCAUCUUCUUUGGUGGAAAGAUUUUUUGGUCAAGGAUGGGCUCGCGGCCUAUCAGCUUGUUGGUGAGGUAAUGGCUCACCAAGGCGACGACGGGUAGCCGGCCUGAGAGGGUGACCGGCCACACUGGGACUGAGACACGGCCCAGACUCCUACGGGAGGCAGCAGUGGGGAAUAUUGCACAAUGGGCGAAAGCCUGAUGCAGCAACGCCGCGUGAGGGAUGACGGCCUUCGGGUUGUAAACCUCUUUUAGCAGGGAAGAAGCGCAAGUGACGGUACCUGCAGAAAAAGCACCGGCUAACUACGUGCCAGCCGCCGCAGUAAUAC
rnacentral:rRNA from 1 species